CUUCUAAACGCUGAUUAAUGAAAGUUAAUGAAAACGGAUCUGCAUUCUGAGAAGGAAAUCCCGGUGUUAAGGCCACUUGCUUGGACCCUAACGGCUAUUUAUAGUGCCAGUGCACUCGUGGGCUUUUCAAGCUACUAUGAGUCAGAUGCCAUCCUUCAUUGGAAGCCUCUCCUUCAGUGCUUUGUGCAUGGCAGAGACCAGUUCUUUCAUAGUGUUUCCAGUACAAGCUUCACCACUUCAUCCUCACAACCCUUAAAAUAUGGAUUGACUUGCCAGCACUCUUGUCCAGCUGAGAAGCAAUUACAGAAGCCAGACCUCCUACCUUCGGCAUCACAAAAAGAAUUUUGUCCAUACUCCCAGAGGGAAAGAAAUGUUAGGGAAGAUGACUGGAGGGCUCUGAACCCAGUUCCAGCAGGACCCAGAAAGAGAAGAGGAAAAAAAAGAAAAAACAUUCUGAAGUAGUGGUAGGUGUAGGUGUGACUUAAA